AGUAGGCCGAGGCAGGAGAAUCUCUGGGAGUUUGAGGCCAGCCUGGGUUACAUAAUGAGUUCAAGGCCAGCCUAGAUGACUUAGGGAGUCUGUCUCAAAAAAGAAACCAAAAAAUGAAUUUGAUUGAACUCAACACAGCCUAAAUAUUACCACCCAAUGUGUGUCUCAGUGCUGAACAGCCACAUGUGGCUCAUGACCUCUCUGGGCCUCUGGCCCUGUCUCAUUGGAGGCUGUGCCCAAGUGACACACCUUCUGGGCCAUAUGUUUUGGGUUUUUUUGAGACAGGGUUACCCUGUAAUUCAGGAUGCCAUUGAACUCACAGCGAUCCUCUUGCCUCAGCCUCCUAAGUGCUGGGAUCACAGGUGUGCGCCACCACGCCCGACUUGGGCCAUGUUUCUAAAGCAGCCCUUUACCACUGCUGACGCUGCCUCUUGCAGCCAGGACUUGUCGCUACCGGAUCUUUUAUUAGUUGUUGAUUAUCUGCCUCGCUUUGGCCUAUAAAUCCCGCGAAGGCAAACACCUCUGUCUUCUUUACUGCUCCCCCGCCCACCCUCAGCAACUACCUCACACCCGAGCUAACGCUCAGCGAAUUCUUGCGGAAAGCGUUGAAGAUUCCAGAUUCCUCAUCUGUCAUCUCUGAGGUUGACGGCCAUUCCGUGGGAUCUUGGGGGAGGGUGAUGGAGAGGGAGGAGCCGCUCAGAGGCCUCUGUGGCAUGAAAGGCUGACCUCAAUGCCAACUUGGGGUGGGACUCUUGCGGUCACAGCGUUUCCUUCCAACUGGGACUUACUUGGCGGCACGUCCACGGGCCUGGCUGGUUUUAGCGGAAGCCAUGCCACCGAGUGGCGCUUCUGCCUGCUACCACUAGAUGGCGCCGCGUCACAAAGUAGUCGCAGCGUGGGCGGUUUCCCAGUUGACUUUGCAGAGAACCCGCCCGCUCCCUGAGCUUGAAGCGAGCUCAUUAAAAAGGCAGUCAAAUCGUGACAGAGUGGGAGCAGCACUGAGGCCGUGCGUCUGCCACUGUCCUUCUUCCUCUCAGACCCUCCUGGCCCUGGGUGGGUCAGGCCUUCAGAAAAAGGCUCUGANNNNNNNNNNNNNNNNNNNNNNNNNNNNNNNCCACCAGCAGGAACCCUUCAGCUCUGAUGGGGAAAUUUCUCCUCUUAUUGUUAUAUCAUUAAACUCCACCCUACCCUGCACGUGUGCACGCAUUAUCAAUGCUUCUGUGAUUUUUUUCGUCCUUCAUACCCAGAAGCCCAGCAGUCCUUCCUGAUCGGAGAAAUUCUGUUCACCCUGCAAAUGUCACCAACGCCAGGAAGUCUUUUCUGAUUUCCUUAGUCAAGACCAACUUUUUCGCCUCCCAGUUUCUGAUAGUAUUUCAGGUCUUUCUCAUAGCAUGUGGUCUUCCUUUUCCCUCUUCCCUCCUUCCCCUUUUCGUUGUCUUCUUUUUCUCCUGAGACAGGGUCUUGCUAUGUAGUGCAGGCUGGCCUUGAACUCAUUAUUGUAGCCCAGGCAGGCCUCAAACUUGAGGUGAUCUUCCUGUCUCAGCCUCCUGAGUGCUGAGAUUACAGGCCUGUGCCACCAUGACCACAGAGGCCGGCAGGCAGUUUCAUGAGCCCAGCAAUGAGCCACCAAAG
rnacentral:lncRNA from 1 species